rnacentral:lncRNA from 1 species
UAUGAAUGGAUUGUACUAAUAAUUUGAGACAUGUAUUUAGAGUUCCAUCAGAAUAAUUCAUUCUAUAUUUCUUAACUAAGUCACCCUGAAGCUACAGUGUCUUAGAGAUUUUUUCCUUAACCAAGAGAAACAGCUGACAUUCAGCCAGCCAAGGAGGUCAUAAGUGAUCCCGCCUCUGAAAAGGGCAGCAUAAGUGACACAGACUUCUCAGCUCCUGUCCAUUAGAAUAUAGCAAUGGAGAAAAGUGUUCUUCCCAUCUUCUUUGUCCCAAGAACUGUGAUCUUAUUGCAAGGAAGCCCUUUACCCUCUUCUAUCCUAGAUCUAAUGGACCUCCUACAGUUCCCUGGGGAAUGAAUAAAAUGGAUCUAACAUUUCUGACCACCUUCUGAAUUUUAUACCAGUACCUGAGUGGACAGAAAAAGAGCUGAAAACAAUCAUCCGCCUUGACAUUCCCCUGAACUUUAAAUUAAUUUAGACUCAUUAAAGAAGUGAAUAAGUACAUAGGCAAAAUGUUUGGACCAGCACUUCACCUAAGUCCUAGAAGUUAAUUUGUUCCUUUUUUUCAAGUGUUUUGUGUUUGUUUUGUUUUUUGGCAAAAAGCAUUAAAAUAUUUUACUUUGAUAAUAUUAAUUUAAAAUUUUAAAACUAUUAAAUGUUCAUCUAUUUUGUCAUCAAAGAAAGGCACAUUAAAAAUACAAUAAGAUAUUUUUAUAGUGGUAUGUACAGCAAAAAAUUAAAAUAUUGACAGUAUUGGGCCUGGGGUUAUGGUAGAGUACUUGCCUGGCAUGCUUAAGGCCCUGGGUUUGAUCCUCAGCACCACAUAUAAAUAAAUAAAUAAAAUAAAGGCCCAUUGAC